AGUCGAACGCGUUGGCCCAAUUGAUUGAUGGUGCUUGCACCUGAUUGAUUUUGGUCGCCAACGAGUGGCGGACGGGUGAGUAACACGUAGGUAACCUGCCCAGAAGCGGGGGACAACAUUUGGAAACAGAUGCUAAUACCGCAUAACAGCGUUGUUCGCAUGAACAACGCUUAAAAGAUGGCUUCUCGCUAUCACUUCUGGAUGGACCUGCGGUGCAUUAGCUUGUUGGUGGGGUAACGGCCUACCAAGGCGAUGAUGCAUAGCCGAGUUGAGAGACUGAUCGGCCACAAUGGGACUGAGACACGGCCCAUACUCCUACGGGAGGCAGCAGUAGGGAAUCUUCCACAAUGGGCGCAAGCCUGAUGGAGCAACACCGCGUGAGUGAAGAAGGGUUUCGGCUCGUAAAGCUCUGUUGUUAAAGAAGAACACGUAUGAGAGUAACUGUUCAUACGUUGACGGUAUUUAACCAGAAAGUCACGGCUAACUACGUGCCAGCAGCCGCGGUAAUACGUAGGUGGCAAGCGUUAUCCGGAUUUAUUGGGCGUAAAGAGAGUGCAGGCGGUUUUCUAAGUCUGAUGUGAAAGCCUUCGGCUUAACCGGAGAAGUGCAUCGGAAACUGGAUAACUUGAGUGCAGAAGAGGGUAGUGGAACUCCAUGUGUAGCGGUGGAAUGCGUAGAUAUAUGGAAGAACACCAGUGGCGAAGGCGGCUACCUGGUCUGCAACUGACGCUGAGACUCGAAAGCAUGGGUAGCGAACAGGAUUAGAUACCCUGGUAGUCCAUGCCGUAAACGAUGAGUGCUAGGUGUUGGAGGGUUUCCGCCCUUCAGUGCCGGAGCUAACGCAUUAAGCACUCCGCCUGGGGAGUACGACCGCAAGGUUGAAACUCAAAGGAAUUGACGGGGGCCCGCACAAGCGGUGGAGCAUGUGGUUUAAUUCGAAGCUACGCGAAGAACCUUACCAGGUCUUGACAUCUUGCGCCAACCCUAGAGAUAGGGCGUUUCCUUCGGGAACGCAAUGACAGGUGGUGCAUGGUCGUCGUCAGCUCGUGUCGUGAGAUGUUGGGUUAAGUCCCGCAACGAGCGCAACCCUUGUUACUAGUUGCCAGCAUUAAGUUGGGCACUCUAGUGAGACUGCCGGUGACAAACCGGAGGAAGGUGGGGACGACGUCAGAUCAUCAUGCCCCUUAUGACCUGGGCUACACACGUGCUACAAUGGACGGUACAACGAGUCGCGAACUCGCGAGGGCAAGCAAAUCUCUUAAAACCGUUCUCAGUUCGGACUGCAGGCUGCAACUCGCCUGCACGAAGUCGGAAUCGCUAGUAAUCGCGGAUCAGCAUGCCGCGGUGAAUACGUUCCCGGGCCUUGUACACACCGCCCGUCACACCAUGAGAGUUUGUAACACCCAAAGUCGGUGGGGUAACCUUUUAGGAGCCA
rnacentral:rRNA from 1 species